rnacentral:rRNA from 1 species
GAUCAUGGCUCAGGAUGAACGCUAGCGACAGGCCUAACACAUGCAAGUCGAGGGGCAGCACGUUAAAGAGUUUACUCUUUAUGGUGGCGACCGGCGGACGGGUGCGUAACGCGUAUGCAACCUGCCUGACACAGGGGGGAUAAUCCGAAGAAAUUUGGUCUAAUACCCCAUAAUACCGAUAUAGGCAUCUAUGUUGGUUGAAAGCUUUGGUGGUGUCAGAUGGGCAUGCGUUGUAUUAG